GCUUAACCAAUGCAAGUCGAACGCCCCGCAAGGGGAGUGGCAGACGGGUGAGUAACGCGUGGGAAUCUACCCAUCUCUGCGGAAUAGCUCUGGGAAACUGGAAUUAAUACCGCAUACGCCCUACGGGGGAAAGAUUUAUCGGGGAUGGAUGAGCCCGCGUUGGAUUAGCUAGUUGGUGGGGUAAAGGCCUACCAAGGCGACGAUCCAUAGCUGGUCUGAGAGGAUGAUCAGCCACAUUGGGACUGAGACACGGCCCAAACUCCUACGGGAGGCAGCAGUGGGGAAUAUUGGACAAUGGGCGCAAGCCUGAUCCAGCCAUGCCGCGUGAGUGAUGAAGGCCUUAGGGUUGUAAAGCUCUUUCACCGAUGAAGAUAAUGACGGUAGUCGGAGAAGAAGCCCCGGCUAACUUCGUGCCAGCAGCCGCGGUAAUACGAAGGGGGCUAGCGUUGUUCGGAAUUACUGGGCGUAAAGCGCACGUAGGCGGAUAUUUAAGUCAGGGGUGAAAUCCCGCAGCUCAACUGCGGAACUGCCUUUGAUACUGGGUAUCUUGAGUAUGGAAGAGGUAAGUGGAAUUCCGAGUGUAGAGG
rnacentral:rRNA from 1 species